GCCUAUAUACCCCACAGGCACCGGAUCCUAUCUGAUUUUUGAAGUUAAGCAGGUUCAACUCUGGUUAGUACUUGGAUGAGAGACCACAUGUUAACCCAGGUCCUGUAGGCC
rnacentral:rRNA from 1 species